UUGAAAGGAACAGCUUCUCCAUUCUCUGCAAGUGUUUUCAGGAUCAAGCCAUCUCUUGAGCACCUGGCAAAGCAAAAAUGUGAGAAGCAAAACCCACACUCAGGUGAGAAAGGACAGAGGACAAGCGGCAGAGGAGAAGCUCCAGACAGCAAGCAUCCCAACUAUGAGAGCCUGUCAAAAAUUUCUCAGCACCACGCUUGCCCAUGCACUUCUUGUUGCUACCUGUGAGCAGAUCACUUCUGCACACACUUAGUGGGUUUUUGACCUCAUUAGAAGGGCUUUAAUUACCAUGUGCUUUGUACAGGUUAUAUACAUCUAAAAUAUCUGUGGUGCUGAAGACAUUCAACAUGCAAAAGCAAGGCAGUGUGUCA